GAUUUUGAUUGCUUAGUCACCGAACUGCCAAAGCCAUCAACGGGUGAAGCAGUGCGUGCGAUAUACGCAUACGAACGCGGAGGAGCCCUCCCUUGUGUAGGCGUGAGCGUGCGUGUUGAGUGCGCGGGCCGUCUUCACGGCCUCUCUCCCUCUCCCUCUCCCCUCCUGCGUCUCUCCUCUUCCCCUCUUGUAGUCUAGCCUCCUCCUUCCCUCCCUCCUCUCAUUGCCCCUCUGCUGGCUUUCAUCUUUCGCUUGUAUUUUCUUUGCUCUUUUUUUUCAUGUGGGUGCCUCGCUUCCCCUCCUCCACCUACUCCUGUGCCGGUUGUACGUCAUCACCCGCUUCUUUCUUGCUUUUCUUCUUCGUUUUCCCGGCUUGUUUGCGUACGUGUGUGUGUGUGUGUGGCUCUCUCUCUCUCUCGGCGCUCCAACGAGCGAUCUUCGCCGAAACCCUCCCUCCCCCCUUCUCCUCUCUGCCUCUUCCCACCGCGACACCGUCCUCCUCCUCCCAUCUCUCAAGACAUACACAUACACGCUGCGCACGUACCGCUCUACAUUCACCUAUACACACAGGCUGUUUCCUCUCUCGUUGCCGCACUCCCGAUAAGCGCGCGCGCAGAGAUUAAUUUUUUCGUUGUUAAUCGACCCCUCUUCCCACAACAACAACAGCAGCAUAAACUAAACAACAAAGAAAAGGACACUCUUUCGUCGUGUUCACAGGCGCACGCGCGCUUCCCUCUCCCUUCCUCUACCGCUGCACACACAUACACACACACACACGAAGAGGCGCAUCCACACACACCCGAGUCGCACACUCGCUCUCAGUUCUCUUUUUUUUUGCUUGCUUCAUUUAUUUAUUUUGCGCUCCUCGGGAGGGCCUCGCUUGGUUUGGUUUCUUGUGUGUGCUGCGCGCAUGAGUGUCUCGCUUUCUCGCCGUUGUGCUACGAUUUUUUUUGUUUUUUUUUUUCUCCCCCUUCACCUCUUACGUUCUCCCUCUCUUUCUUGGUGUCUCUCUCGUUUCUUGUGCCUGCCUGUCUCUAUCUGUCUCUUGGCCUGGCACUUCUUCUCUUGCUGGCGGCUGCGUAUCUUAUCUGGUGUGUGUGUCUCUCUCUCUCCCUUUCGUGUGUGCGCACACCUGGCACGCAUAACGGAACCUCUCGCUUGCACCCUCCGCCUCUGCGCAGCUCUCGCCGCUCUGACACACGCCCGGAGAGCACAUCCACUUUGUCUCCCUUCCCCUCUCUCGCGCUUGUCGUCGUUUCUCUUCCACUGAGUCGCGUGUGCCCGCCGGCGUCUCUUUCCUUUGAAAAAAAAAAACGUUUCUUUCUUUUUUUCGUCGCCUUCUUCGCGUACGCUGCUGUGAGCGCGUCUCGCCUGUGUUUCCUUGCCCUUCCCCCUUCGCGUCUUUUGCUUUGAUGAUGCCGCGGUCCAACGGGGAGGCGGCGGACGGUAGCGGAACCGUCGGCGGCACACACUCCGGUGGCCAUCAGAACAGAGUAUGUGUCGCACCGGAAAACCCUGCCCGAUCCUUGGCUACCAUGUCGAGCAGCAACAACGUGUUCAGCCUUGUCGCCGCCACGCCGGAUGUAAAUAUCAGCGACUACCAACCGCUGCAAGUCCCACGGACCACGACGGUGCGCCAUGUGACGAUGAGCAACGGCGGCGGUCUGCCGCUGCAGCGGACCUCUGCGUCGGAAUUUUCGAGUCUCGCCGGCAUUAGAAGCAUGCGCAGUGGCGCCAACACCUCGGCCGCCUCCGAAGACCAGCCGCUGCCCAUGCUGACAAUGCUACCCUUCUCUUCCGCCUCGAGCGUUACCAAGUCAGCCGGCAGUACCGGCGUUGGUGUGGAGAGCGGCAUCGGCGGGUCUGGUGCCGCCACAACGGGCGCCGCAGCGAUGACCACAAGCAUUGGCCCGUGCACCUCGUCCGCUGGUCGCUCUAUGACACUACUGGAGCGUCGAAACAAUCGCGAGCGCAGCGCUCUGAGCCUCUCAUGUUUGUCAGGGCUGAAUGUAGAGAAGCUUCAGGAAAGCAUGCGGGAAACUAGUCUCGUCUUCAAUUCUCAAGAAACACCGGAGCCUGUGUCGCAGGGAUGGUCCAAGACUGUCGCCUCGGCGGCGCUGCUGAGUGAUUACGCCAUGCCAUCUGUGCGCGCGUCGCCGCCGGGCGCGGGAGACGUGCCUCGCUCCACGGCCGCGCACUCGGCGCGGCAGGCCACCGCCAAGUUUCAGGGUCAGGCACCGCGGCCCCCCAGCAGCGGCGAAGACGGCAGCGGCCCCCGCCGCAGUCAUCCCAUUUCCACCUCGGAGUCCAGAACGAUCGAUGAGAUACCAGGAGCGCUAAAGGUAAUCGGCUACAACAUCCUGGCGAGCCGGCUAGCGUCCACCGACUUGUACCCCGCCUGCCCACCGUCGGUGCUGAGUGAAGAGUAUCGACUGGACCUCAUCAAGGAGGAGCUCCGGCGCGUUGACCCCGACAUAUUGCUCUUGGAGGAGAUCAGCGUGGCGGCGCACGAGCGCACUCUCGGGCCUUACUUGAGAACGGCGCUCGGGAUGGAGGGGCAUCACGUUGUCAUCACUGAUCGCAACGGAGCUCCUCGCUGCGCACCGCUGACGCAGCAGUCCAAGGGAGCAGCCGCGUUCUCGCCUGCUCUUGCUAUCCCUUUUGGAAUCCCCUGCAGCACUGAGAAGAGGCCGAACUCGGUGAGCAUGACGGCUACAUUAGCCGGAGCGGCUGCGUGCAAUAGUGACGCUUCCGCUCGGCGUGGCGCGGCCGGUGGCGCCGCGAACGGCUCCGGCGAUGUCGACAGGAGGAGCAACUCGCCCCAUCUGCCACAGCUCGCCGAAACGAGCUGGAGCCGCCGCUCCAGUCGGCGCAGCAGCGUCGUGGCCGCGUCUCGGUUUCCCGCGAGCUCGUGUGGCACCCCGGCCAUUUGGCAGAAACGUGGCGAGGCGUUGCCCUUGCAGCACCCGCAGCCGUUCAGCAUGCCGCAACAGGAGAUGUCGUGCUCCUCGCUCGAGGACCCGCAAAUCCAGCCCAAAGCGAUGACGGAUGAGGAGUCGAUGCAGCGAAGUUGCAGCGCAGCGGAGUUCACCCAAGGUGCCACAGCGCGCGUAAACCGGCAGACGAUGGGGUCUGGAGCGCCUCCGGCAGUACUUCGCGCGGAGAAGGCCACUGAGGAGGCCCUCGGCCACCGGCGAGUGGAAAUGGACGGAGUGAGCAUCUUUUACAAGGCGGCACGGUUCCGCGAGCUAGAGGUGAUGCCGGUGCUCUUUAACCGUCUCGCCGCCGCGGAGAAGCGACUCACCCGCUACGAGCACAAGAAGCUUCAGGUGGACUCGCACAAUGUGGCCCUCGUCGUGGUGCUGCAGGAUAUGCAGGUGAUCGGGGUAUCGCGCAUAUACGUGGUGGCUGCUGUGCAUCUCAUCUGGCAGCGCAUCAACGCACAGCUGUGGCAGGCGCAUCAGCUCCUCCGCGUCAUGGAGGGACUGAAACACAAGUACUGCAAGGGCUACGUGGACCUCGUCUACCCAAGUGGGCGUGGCUCCAUCGCGUGCGACAGCGCAGUCACCCAGCCGCCGAGCAUCAUCGACACCCCGCUGAUGCGAGAGGGAACGCGGCGGCAAGCGCAGGACGAUGUCGCACCUCAGCCAUCGCUACCAACGCCGCUACCGUUGCAGCAGCCGCGCGCGCUGUCUGCGCGGUGCCAAAGCAUAGUACCCAGCCGCGCCACUACUGAAGCCUCCGAUCCGGCUGGAGACAGCGACGGUAGCAGGCUCUUCAACGUCGCCGCCACCGAUCGCAUGCGCUGUAGGUACGCCAGUGUGUGCUCUGGCGUUGCCUCGUCGCCCACAUCGUCCGUCACAUGCAUUAUCGGCGGCGACUUUAAUGCCGAGCGCAGCGGGCCGGUCAUGGAGUACUUGCGCACCGGCAGGGUGCCAGGGGGGGCGGAGGUGAUGGAGUACUGGCGAGCACCCAAGUCGGAGUCGCCGGUGCCGCUCGACCGCACGGAUGAGCGAGGCACCGGUCGGGCGACCGCCAGGGGUGAGGUGAAUGCGCUGCGCCCCACGCCUCCGCCCCCGUCAAAGGUGCCUCCACCGACACUGUAUGGUGUACUGAACCCCGCGGGGCAGGAGAUGAUCAGGAUAUCCCCGCACAACUCUAUGCACUCCUCCUUAUGUUCUACGGGCUCGCCACCGUCGGUGCUGCCGCGUCGCGCGACCAAGUCUCCGCCCCGCAACUCCGUGAGCAACGCUGCUAGUGCUGCAGCGACCGGUAACGGUACAGGUGACGACCUCUGCCUCCAUCAGCCAUACACCCCGCUCAGCAAGCGGCCAUUCAAUCUCUACCCUAGCCGCGUCUCGGACGGCGUGCUGUCCUCGCACAAUAGGGCAGACAAUCCACUGCAGUGCCGACGAGACUUGGCGAAGGGUACCACCGUCGCCGCUCCGACGUCCCCGCGAAGGUCUGCCCUCACACCGAGUCCACAGCCUACCGAGAAUGACCUCCGCUGCAACCGCGGAAGCACAUCCCCAACUCUCUUGUCAACCUCGAGUAGCUUCAUCGACACGCCGAGCUGUGGCUGUGAUGAUGGCUGUGGCGGCGGCAGCAACCUUGCAGCGGUGGCCGCGUCGUCAUCGCAGUAUGUGCUGUUCUCUGCGUCGUCGAGCCCCGCUCGCUGUUGCAGUUCGGAUGCUCAGCUGCCACUUCUGCGACCCUCGAUGUCGAUGAACAGGACUCCCACUGUGCAUGCCGCCUCCCCAGCCUCUGCACCACAGACCUCGCCGUCGUCUGCGCGGGAGAACGGAGGCUCCGCCACCAUCCCCGAAAACCACCGCGCGUACACGCGACGGCGCACCUUACCGGACAUGAGCAACAUCGAGAGUAGUACGCUGGAACACUCCCGUAGCCGAAGUGCCAGUCAGAGCGGAAGCGUGCUGAGCACUGCGUUUCCCACGAACUGCGCAAUGCGACUCGCCGUGCACACUCGCCACGACACGCUCAGUGUGGAGUUGGGCGAGCCUGACUGGGAAAGUGAGGAAAGCCGCGGACGGACCCCCAUGUUGGGCGAUGCAACCGACGUUGCAUCUUCGGCGCAGCCGAGCCCCUCUCACGAUCACCAGGAAGAAGUGGGGGGUGCAGGCGGGGUUGUAGAGAAAGGAGAAGUGAACGCGAAGCGGCGGCAUCGCAUCCACGCGCUGAAAAGCUUCGCAGGUGCGGACGGCGGCGGCAGCGGUGGCAACGCCUCAGCGAGCUCGAACUAUGGAUUGGUGAUGGGUGAUCACCGGCUGUCCUUGUACGGCGACCCGGCGACGCCGGCGUCCCCGCGCGCACGUCGGAAGCGGCGGCCCGCCGUCGCUGCAUCCAGGGACGGGGCGCCAAGCCCUGCUUCGCCCCAAGCCACGCGCCAUUUCUCCUCCCAGGCGGCGCCGCAGUCGCCGUCAGCGGUAGACUACGACUUCACGUGCUCGACGGUGUCUGCGUCACCGCCGGUGUCUCUCUUAUGCCUGCCCACGCUCAUCGCCAACAGCGCCUACACUCCGCCCAGCCCACCGGUGCUUCUCAUUGACGACGUCGUGCACAAGAUCCGCUUGAGUGACGCCUAUGCCCCGUACUGCUACCGCCAUCCUUCCUACGUGUCGGCGGUGAACCCGUCCACCAACAUGGAGGGCAAGGUGCUCGACCACAUAUUAUACGAGGAUGAGCACGUCGUGUGCGGCGGGGUGCUGCGGCUCGGAGAGCGACAGGAGCUUCCGAAUGCGCGGGUGCCGAGUGAUCACUAUAUGAUCGGGAGCGUGCUGAUCCCGAUCCAGGAAUUGCACCGGGCUUGAGGCGUGGCUGGCGGUUACUGCUUGAGGGGGAGGAAGGGAUGGGGGAGUGCGCAAAAGGCGAAGAGGUGCACGGGGUAGGAUGCAUCGAUGUGCGUGCGCAGCGCGAGGCAUACAAACCACAUCUUUUUAUUUUGUCGUUUCGCUGGCUGUCAUCCGUUUCUCGCACAUCCACGUUUACUCCGAUUUGACGGCUUCCUUUGGCUUUCUCGAAGACGCUAUACAUGCACUCACGGACACACACACACACACACAUACACUCGCAUAAGAAGUGUACACACUCAAAUCACCAGUUAUGACGGAGAUGUGCGUGUAAGAACAGAAGAAGAAGUGAAGAUAGCCAUCUUGGUCUCUUUGUUGUUGUUUUCCUUCUACGCGGGAGCACAGUGUGCUGGUGGGUACGGAGCAACGAGGGGGAGAUGGGUAGGUCUUGCUGAGGUGGCAGGUUCCUGUGGGUGCGUGUGUGGAGUUGUGUAGGAUCUAGUGGACGAGGGACGUAUGCCACUUGCAUCUGAUGUGCUCCUUCCCGUCGGUUUACGUCUUUUGAUUUUGAUUCCAUGUAAGGCUUUGAAAAUCGCUUUUUGGUUGCAACUCUGGUUGCCUUCUCCUCCUUCUCCUCGCCUUCUCCCUCUCUGCCGCCCCCCCCCCCCGCGAAACCCAUACUUGCGUGUAUUCACCUCUCUCACUCUAUCCGUGUGUGCGUCUGUGUCUGUACGUAUGUGCGCGUAGACGUCUGCGCUCUCUUUCUUCUUGUCAUGUACGUUCUCUCUCGCUGUCCCUCCGCUGUUUUUUCUUGUUGAAUUUCUUACUGAGUGUGCACGCUCUCUCUGCCUCUCGUCCUCCCGUCGUUUUAUGUAUUUAUGUGUGUGCGUGUAUAUGCGCGACCAAAUCGACUUCGGUUUCACCUUCGGCUUCGGUGCCUCCUUCCUCCUCGUCCUCGUUGGAUGUUCUGUCUGUAAUCGCCUUUUUUUUUACGGCGGUAGUGGAUAUGUGAAUGCUGUUGUUAAUACCGCUGCUGUUGUGGGGCAGGUCUCCUCUCUCUGUGUGUAGCAUGUACUACUACUAUUUUUGCUUCGCUCUCCUCUUUUUUUUCGUAUGUUGUUUGGAGUUGAUAUGGUCUUCUUUGCCCCUACCGCCCGUCCUCCACCUUGUUUUCUUCCCAGCGCUGUCCGCGCACUCUGCACUGGGCUCUCUCUUUCUGUGUCUUGUGCUUUUAUGAACGACUGUGUUCUGAGGAAGAGGGAGACAUGUCGACCGGCCACUGUCGGUGCCCGUCUCAUUGGCCUCGUGGUGGUGGAGGGAGAGCAAAGGUAAUGAGAGGGGCGGUAUACACUUCCCAUCUCUCGUCUUGUCGUUGCUGUCGUCCUCCACUUCCAUGACCGUCAUCCUUCUCCCACCCUCCCGGACCCCUCGCCUCUCUCUCGUUGUCCACCACCUCGUCAACGCUUUUUUUUCAACGCUGCCGCACUUUUCGCGUCUAACUUCAGUGUUGUCCUCGCGUUUCCCAUAGAUGCAAUACGUAAAGGAAAGAGAGCAGCACACAACCCUCCUCCUCUCCCAUGCGUGUGCGGUGCGCAGCACCAGAGGGACUUCAAAAGAAGAAUAAAAAAGUGGCUGAUGGGGAAGAUGAGUGAUGGUGGUGGCUCUAUGCAGUGCUUUACUGUCUUGCUACAGCUUCUCACUUCCAUGGUGCCGCUCCUCCUCAUUUUUCCUGCUCAUCAUCUCUCCCUCUUCUUUUGAUAUCCCGUGAGCCGAGUGUUGCUGCUGUUGCCGGCUGAAGCGUAAUUAUGUCUGUACGUGUCUUCGUCUCCCACCUCCCCACUCCUCUUCCCUGUCGUGUGCGGUGCUCUCUCGAGCUUCUCUCGGAGUCGCGGCCUCCCUCCUCCCUCCUCCCUCCUCCCUCCUCCUCCUCCUCCCUCCUCCCUCCUCCUUCCUUCCUUCCUGCCGCCCCCUCUUUUUCUUUGAGCGAAUUUUUCCCAUGUGUUUCCUUGCCUCUUGGUUCUUCUUCCACGCCAUUCAGACUUCCCGCAUGUACAUGGUUCAUUCUACUCUAUCCAUCUCGUUUUGCCUUCCCGUGCUACACGAAUGUGUGUCUCUCUCCGCUUCACAAUGCCCGAACGCGCACGCAUCAACGCAUAAAAAAUUUCAGAAUGC
rnacentral:misc_RNA from 1 species